AGUGAACCCUGGCGGUAGGCCUAACACAUGCAAGUCGAACGGCAGCACAGUAAGAGCUUGCUCUUACGGGUGGCGAGUGGCGGACGGGUGAGGAAUACAUCGGAAUCUACUUUUUCGUGGGGGAUAACGUAGGGAAACUUACGCUAAUACCGCAUACGACCUACGGGUGAAAGCAGGGGAUCUUCGGACCUUGCGCGAUUGAAUGAGCCGAUGUCGGAUUAGCUAGUUGGCGGGGUAAAGGCCCACCAAGGCGACGAUCCGUAGCUGGUCUGAGAGGAUGAUCAGCCACACUGGAACUGAGACACGGACCAGACUCCUACGGGAGGCAGCAGUGGGGAAUAUUGGACAAUGGGCGCAAGCCUGAUCCAGCCAUACCGCGUGAGUGAAGAAGGCCUUCGGGUUGUAAAGCCCUUUUGUUGGGAAAGAAAAGCAGCAGGUUAAUACCCCGCUGUUCUGACGGUACCCAAAGAAUAAGCACCGGCUAACUUCGUG
rnacentral:rRNA from 1 species